GGCAACCUGUGUACAGCUAGAUGCCUCUGGUGAUAGUUAAAGGGAGAUCUGGAACCAGAGGCAUAAACACAAAAUUAAAUUAAACAAGAAGCAGAUAACUGAAAUAGCCUUGAAGCACACAGCAUUAGUGGAGUCAUGCAAGCAUUCUGGAAUGAGGACUGUAGCAGGUCCAGAGCCUCCUUCAUUACUGGAACACCCCU